rnacentral:rRNA from 1 species
UACAGAGGUCUCAAGCGUUGUUCGGAUUCAUUGGGCGUAAAGGGUGCGUAGGUGGCGCUGUAAGUCGGGUGUGAAAUUUCGGAGCUUAACUCCGAAACUGCAUUCGAUACUGCGGUGCUUGAGGACUGGAGAGGAGACUGGAAUUUAUGGUGUAGCAGUGAAAUGCGUAGAGAUCAUAAGGAAGACCAGUGGCGAAGGCGGGUCUCUGGACAGUUCCUGACACUGAGGCACGAAGGCCAGGGGAGCGAACAGG